rnacentral:rRNA from 1 species
UACGUAGGCAGCAAGCGUUGUUCGGAGUUACUGGGCGUAAAGGGUGCGUAGGCGGUCCUAUAAGUAUGGUGUGAAAUCUCCCGGCUUAACUGGGAGGGUGCGCUAUAGACUGUGGGACUAGAGUGUGGGAGAGGAAAGUGGAAUUCCUGGUGUAGCGGUGAAAUGCGUAGAUAUCAGGAGGAACACCGGUGGUGUAAACGGCUUUCUGGACCAUAACUGACGCUGAGGCACGAAAGCGUGGGUAGCAAACAGGA